GAUGAACGCUGGCGGCGUGCCUAAUACAUGCAAGUCGAGCGAACAGACGUGGAGCUUGUUCCUCCGACGUUAGCGGCGGACGGGUGAGUAACACGUGGAUAACCUACCUUUAAGACUGGGAUAACUUCGGGAAACGGGAGCUAAUACCGGAUAAUAUCUUGAACCGCAUGGUUCAAUAGUGAAAGACGGUUUUGCUGUCACUUAUAGAUGGAUCCCCGCCGCAUUAGCUAGUUGGUAAGGUAACGGCUUACCAAGGCAACGAUGCGUAGCCGACCUGAGAGGGUGAUCGGCCACACUGGAACUGAGACACGGUCCAGACUCCUACGGGAGGCAGCAGUAGGGAAUCUUCCGCAAUGGGCGAAAGCUUGACGGAGCAACGCCGCGUGAGUGAUGAAGGUCUUCGGAUCGUAAAACUCUGUUAUUGGGGAGGAACAAAUGUGUAAGUAACUAUGCACGUCUUGACGGUACCUAAUCAGAAAGCCACGGCUAACUACGUG
rnacentral:rRNA from 1 species